rnacentral:lncRNA from 1 species
CGUAUCUGUCAAAUGUACAGUUAAAGGGUUAUUCCGCAUUUUUUGCCGAUACGCACACAUUGGAAUUUCGCUAACUCCUCCGAAGGCUUUCGUUCCACCGGCACCACAUUUGCUCAGGCCAAUCUACACCCCAUGGCCAUUAAAAGUUAUUCAAAUCAUGAUGCUGCACCCCAUGGUUUAGGUUCUAGGGGGCGCCAAAAAUAACCCAAAAAUCCACAUUCUUAAAUGUUUUAUAACUUUUUUUUUUUGUCCUCACUGGCCUCCAAGUUUUCUAGGAUGAUGCAAUGUCCAGCCAUCAACACAUUUGUGAAGGAAUUUUUACUCCCCAAAAGAGCGCCCCCCCAUGGUAGGAGAAAAAAGUCAAUUUUUUCUUGUCCCCUUACAUGAAAAUACACAUUGUUGAGUGUCACGCCUGAACGCUUUGUCAUAUUGACACAAAAAUUGACAAUCAUGUGUAUCUCAAUUAGAUCUACGAAAAAGUCAAACAGCGCGUAUCUGUAUAAUGUACGGUUAAAGGGCUAUUUUGCAUUUUUUGCCGAUUCGCACACAUUGGAAUGUGGCUAUCUCCUCCUAAGGCUUUCGUCCCACCGAUACCAAAUUUGCUAAGGGCAAUCUACACCCCAUGCCCAUUCAAAGUUGUAAAAAUCAUGAUGCUGCACCCCACGGUUUACGUUCUAGGGGGCGCCAAAAAUGACCCAAAAAUCCACAUUCUUAAAAGUCAUUUUGGCCACUGCAGGAGUACAGAGUACUGCAGUUCUAGGGGGCGCCAAAGAUGACCCAAAAAUCCACAUUCUUAAAAGUCUUUUUGGCCACUGCAGGAGUACAGAGUACUGCAGGAUACACACACAUAUACACACACGCCAACAUACACACACACACACACACACACACACACACACACAGACACACACACACACUCAGAGUCUGUUUUUUAGCACCUGCAAAAACAUGCUGUUUACAUAUUUGACAAGAAUGCAGAGGCUUCCUUUUGCCCCUGAAAAAAAUCAAAUUUCAAACACAACUUGACUGUUCAUUUCUCCAAAAGACAACCAUGAAGCUCCAUUUCAAACCUGAAGCAGAUAGUUGGUGCAUGUGUACAGUAACCUGAGGGGAGUAAGGUGACUAUUUCUGAGGAGAACAUGAGCAGUGAAGAUUCACCUUGGAGCUAGAACAGGGACGUGCACAUGAUUAUACAGGGGCAGGGGCUCAAGUUUUUUCCAGUCAUUUAUACAAUAUGGAAAUUAAUGUGAAAUUAAACCACAAAUAUGUGUGAUGAACUGUUUUUAAAACUUAAACUUCAAAUAAAAAUUGUAAACUUCAAAACAUAUGCAAAUUUUUAACAAAGAACAUAGUAAUUUACCUCUAUUUACAUCAAAAUGCAGGCAAUGGCCCAGGCGUUCUUUGUAAAAUUAUUUACAAAACACUGUAUAGUCUCACAAAUGUCACUUUUUAUUUAUGCCACUACAAAAAAACAUGAUGUAAAUGAUGCAUGAUGUAAAACAUGAUGUAAAAAACUUGUGUAGAUCCUCCUCUAUGUCAGCCCAUGUGUAAUUUUUCCAUAAUUCUUUGUUUUUUGCAGCAUUUUUGUUAGUGUAACUGCAGAUUGUGCUGACAGUGUCUAUGGCAAAAAAAAAAAAAACUGAAAAUGCCUCAACAUGGACCCCUGGUGGUCUCUGAGGGUGAAACCUGCUAACUGCUGCAGCUCUGUCAGCUUUAGUCUCCCAUGCAGAGUUCGGAGCGCAUGUGUGGCUCUGCACCCUUAGCAGCGUUGCUAACUCCUCAGUAAGGAAAGCCUGCUUCAUGUCAGAGUCUCUAAACUCCAGAAGAAGUCGAUAAAAGUCCCUUUCUUUCUAAAAAAAAGUCGUUAGGGGGUCUGAAAAGUCAUUGAAUCUAACAACAAAGUCGCUAGGUUUGCAACUACGUGUCCCAGACUGCAUCCCUGCUGAGAGUUCCUCCCUCCCUUCUCAUGUUGCAGGAAGAACGUAAGCGCCCGCCCCUUGUCAAUCAGUCACCAUAUAAUUUUGGAUUGGUUGUUGUGGUGAAGUUUUCCACCAAUAGGAGAGAUGUUGUGGUGUUUUUUUUUUUCUUUGGCAAGCCUUUUCCGCCUGUAAGACCUGUCGCUAAUGUCUGCAUGCUAUGUUUUCCUGUCUCAUACAGCACGAUCGAGCGCCGGACGUGAUCAAAAUAAGCAGAAAAAAAGUAUCGCGGACAUAAUUUAUCAUAACUCUGGUUUUAUUUGGCCUAUCAACACAAUUUGAAAACUGGUGUAUAGUUUGAGGUCCUCACUUUUGAGAUAAGUUGAAACGGAGAGUCAACGAGGCUCCGUCUUGCUGCUACAUCCGGUUAAAUAUGUAAGGUGACUUGAACGCUGAGGAGCGUCCAUCGACUGCAGAGCCAGCAGACAAAGUAGUUGUGGCCACUGAAAGGCACAUAUUUGUCAUAUGCUAUAAUCCUAACAUAUUUUAAUGCUUUUUCUAUUUAAACCUAAUGGAUCUAAGGUUUGACCUUCAAAAUUUAGGAAGAAUAUGUUUUUGCAGUAAUGACCCCGUUAAACAACCAGAGGUCCUUUCCUAAAGUUUAUGGAAAUUUUAGUGAAGGCCUUGGUUUCUUUCCUUGCAAAAUGUAUAGAAAUAAUAAAGCUAAAUUCCAUAAAAUGGUCUUGGCGUAUUAGCAGUGAUAUAAAAUAGUGGUUUGAAUAUGAAUGAACAACAACAACAAAAAAACAUCAACAGAGCCUUUUUGAGUUGGGAUUCUUUCAUUAUCACACAAAAACAGACAUAGACAGACAUCUAAAGGGUAAGGGAAUGAUCAGCCCUCCUAACUCUCAGAUGAAUCUUCAAAAUUCACCUCAGAAAUAUGCUUAUUAUUCUUCUCAGAGUACUGCAGGAUAUACACACACACACUCAGAGUCUUUUUUUAGCACCUGCAAAAACAUGCUAUUUACAUAUUUGACUAGAAUGCAGAGGCCCCUUUUUGCCCCUGAAAAAAAUCAAAUUUCAAACACAACUUGACUGCUCAUUUCUCCAAAAGACAACCAUGAAGCUCCAUCCAAACCUGAAGCAGGCAGUUGGUGCAUGUGUACAGUCACCUGAGGAAAGUGAGGUGACUACUUCUGAGGAGAACAUGAGCAGUGAAGAUUCACCUUGGAGCUAGAACAGGGAUGUGCACAUGAUUAUACAGGGGCAGGGGCUCAAGUUUUUUCCAGUCAUUUAUACAAUAUUGAAAUUAAUGUGAAAUUAAAAAACAAGUAUUAAUAGAAAGGUUAUGACUGUCCUGUGUAGAUGACAGUGAUAUCCAAUAGGCUAGGCACUCACGAGGCUGGCUGUGGCAAGUGUAAGUGAAAGCAACACGCACUGGCAGGAAGAACAGCAAACGCCGAUGAAGGAAAGGGUCUUUGCAGUGAUGGGCGUUACCAGAGAGGGCGAUGGCCAGAGGACGCGAAUGGGACGGGGAGGCAGCGCGUUGGGGGGGGCAGCGCGACACGGCUCGGGCCCGCCAGUGCCCCAACGGGGCCCUAGUUUGUUAUUAUUUUUCCUCCGCUUUAAACUGGAAAAUGGCCCACUUCCCACUGGCGAAAACUCAGGAAAUUUGGCAGGACGACCGGGCCUGGUUAAAAAUUCGAUAUUCUGAAGUCGCCCAAACAAUAAAAUGCAAAAUGGCUCCAUAGCGCCCCCUAAGGUGAAAAUUCACAUGACGGCUAUACGCUUUGUCAAAAUGACACAAAAAUUGACACACACAUGUAUCUCAAUAAGAUCUACAAAAAAGUCAGUGCGGGCGUAUCUGUCAAAUGUAUGGUUAAAGGGUUAUUCCGCAUUUUUUGCCGAUCGACACACAUUGGAAUUUCGCUAACUCCUCCGAAGGCUUUCGUUCCACCGGCACCACAUUUGCUCAGGCCAAUCUACACCCCAUGGCCAUUAAAAGUUAUUCAAAUCAUGACGCUGCACCCCACGGUUAAGGUUCUAGGGGGCGCCAAAGAUAACCCAAAAAUCCAUAUUCUUAAAAGUCUUAUAACUUUUUAUUUUUGUCCUCACUGGCCUCCAAGUUUUCUAGGAUGAUGCAAUGUCCAGCCAUCAACACAUUUGUGAAGGAAUUUUUACUCCCCAAAAGAGCGCCCCCCAUGGCAGGAGAAAAAAGUCCAUUUUUUCUUGUCCCCUAAGGUGAAAAUACACAUUGUUGAGUGUCACGCCUGUACGCUUUGUCAAAAUGACACAAAAUUUGACACACAGGUGUAUCUCAAUAAGAUCUACGAAAAAGUCAGUGCGGGCGUAUCUGUCAAAUGUACGGUUAAAGGGCUAUUUCGCAUUUUUCGGCGAUCCGUACACAUUGGAAUUUCGCUAACUCCUCCGAAGGCUUUCGUUCCACCGGCACCAUUUUUGCUCAGGCCAAUCUACACCCCAUGGCCAUUAAAAGUUAUUCAAAUCAUGACGCUGCACUCCACGGUUUAGGUUCUAGGGGGCGCCAAAAAUAACCCAAAAAUCCACAUUCUUAAAAGUCAUAACUUUUUAUUUUGUCCUCACUGGCCUCCAAGUUUUCAAAGAUGAUGCAAUGUCCAGCCAUCAACACAUUUGUGAAGGAAUUUUUACUCCCCAAAAGAGCGCCCCCCCAUGGCAGGAGAAAAAAGUCCAUUUUUUCUUGUCCCCUAAGGUGAAAAUACACAUUGUUGAGUGUCACACCUAUACGCUUUGUCAUAUUGACACAAAAUUUGACAAUCAAGUGUAUCUCAAUAAGAUCUAGGAAAAAGUCAAUGCGCACAUAUCUGUAAAAUGUACGGUUAAAGGGCUAUUUUGCAUUUUUUGCCGAUUCGCACACAUUGGAAUGUAGCUAACUCCUCCUAAGGCUUUCGUCCCACUGACACCAAAUUUGCUCAGGCCAAUCUACACCCCAUGGCCAUUCAAAGUUGUACAAAUCAUGACGCUGCACCCCACGGACAACCAUGAAGCUCCAUCCAAACCUGAAGCAGGCAGUUGGUGCAUGUGUACAGUACCCUGAGGGGAGUGAGGUGACUGCUUCUGAGGAGAACAUGAGCAGUCAAGAUUCACCUUGGAGCUAGAACAGAGACGUGCACAUGAUUAUACAGGGGCAGGGGCUCAAGUUUUUUCCAGUCGUUUAUACAAUAUGGAAAUUAAUGUGAAAUUAAAAAACAAAGUAUUAAUAGAAAGGUAAUGACUGUCCUGUGUAGGUGACAGUGAUAUCCAAUAGGCUAGGCACUCACGAGGCUGGCUGUGGCAAGUGUAAGUGAAAGCAACACACACUGGCAGGAAGAACAGCAAACGCAGAUGAAGGAAAAGGGUCUUUGCAGUGAUGGGCGUUACCAGAGAGGGCGAUGGCCAGAGGACGCGAAUGGGACGGGGAGGCAGCGCGUUGGGUGGGGCAGUGCGACACGGCUCGGGCCCGCCAGUGCCCCAACGGGGCCCUAGUUAUUAUUAUUAGGGCCCGAGCCAGCUGCAGAGCAGCCGGGCGUAGAGCCCUAUUAUUCCUGAUGAGUUUUUUAGGGCCCGAGCGUAGCUGCUAAGCAGCUGCGAGAGCCCUCUUGUUCCUGUAGUUUCCUUCUUUUGUUAUUAUUAUUUUUCCUCCCCUUUGAACUGGAAAAUGGCCCACUUCCCACUGGCGAAAACUCAUGAAAUUUGGCAGGACGACCGGGCCUGGUGAAAAAUUUGAUAUUCCGAAGUCGCCCAAACAAGAAAAUGCAAAAUGGCUCCAUAGCGCCCCCUAAGGUGAAAAUUCACACUAUUGACUGUCACGCCUGUACGCUUUGUCAAAAUGACACAAAAAUUGACACACACAUGUAUCUCAAUAAGAUCUACAAAAAAGUCAGUGCGGGCGUAUCUGUCAAAUGUACGGUUAAAGGGUUAUUUCGCAUUUUUUGCCGAUCCGCACACAUUGGAAUUUCGCUAACUCCUCCGAAGGCUUUCGUUCCACCGGCACCACAUUUGCUCAGGCCAAUCUACACCCCAUGGCCAUUAAAAGUUAUUCAAAUCAUGACGCUGCACCCCACGGUUUAGGUUCUAGGGGGCGCCAAAGAUAACCCUAAGAUCCACAUAUUUAAAAGUCUUAUAACUUUUUAUUUUUGCCCUCACUGGCCUCCAAGUUUUCUAGGAUGAUGCAAUGUCCAGCCAUCAACACAUUUGUGAAGGAAUUUUUACUCCCAAAAAGAGCGCCCCCCCAUGGCAGGAGAAAAAAGUCCAUUUUUUCUUGUCCCCUAAGGUGAAAAUACACAUUGUUGAGUGUAACACCUGUACGCUUUGGCAAAAUGACACAAAAAUUGACACACACAUGUAUCUCAAUAAGAUCUACGAAAAAGUCAAUGCGCGCG